UGGUCUCUCUUCGCUCCCCACCCCGAAACUGACCCACGGCACAGCGCCCAUUCGCUUCGCGCGCGGGAAGGCAACGAAGUUCAGUUCAUGAGACCGCAGCGCAGCGGAGUGGAGCAGCCGCGACACGAAGUUCCUUACCUUAGCUGGAUCUCGCUGGUGCCACCUAAACGGUAGGUAGGCGGCGGAUGUGUGACGUUUGGAGUUGUCGUUCGUGCACCUGUCCCCAAUGGAAGAAUGAGUGAUCUGUUCCCCUGCGGAUCAUGGCCUUACCACUCGGUCCCCGAUGGCCAGCGGGGGAUUCGGUAUAGCAGCUCAGGUUCGUUUGCACUAAAGAAAAAGCAAUUCUUCAUUCAAUCUCUGUUCCAAAUUCUGGUCUUACCAAGUCACCUUUCUCUAAGGCUAAAUAGCUAAAUAUCCCCUGCAAGCUAACUAAUGGCAAGGGCCGGAGAUAGAGAGUGAUGAAGGGGGAAGAGAAGCUGAGAAUUGCCUCUUAUUCGUACUCGCUCGCCUAUGAACGAGUCGUGCAUCUGAAUAAACUUCUAAGCAUUCAACUUGUCUCUCUUCAAAAGCGGAUCUCUCCCCAUCUCCCUUUUACUGUAUAUGGUCGAGCUGGCUUGGCUGGUACAUCAAGCAUAUCGGCAUAUUACUUGUUCGGUGUGGUACACAUAUCUUUCAAUGUAAAUCAAGUAAGAGAAUUCAUUCCCACUGUCUGAGGAAAACGUGAAGAAUUGCCAUUUUAUGAGCUUGUAAGGCCCGUUGCGUUGAAGUCCCCGAAUAAAGAGGCUAUACUAAGUCGGUGGGGCAUUGGGCAGCCCCUAUUGCCCAAGGGCAAGGCCACGCUAGGCCAUUCUAGAACCUUCUAUAGAAUGCUAGCUUCUUGUAGCUUGUAUGGCAGCCCCUUUGGCCGACCUAGGCAGCUUCCUAGGACUCUCUAGAGUCCUCUAAGAUGCCACCACUCCUUUGUGCUUCCAUGGAGCUUCCACCAACUCCUAGAUCACUCCGGAACCUUCUAGAACCUUCC
rnacentral:lncRNA from 1 species